UACAGAGGGUGCAAGCGUUAAUCGGAAUUACUGGGCGUAAAGCGUGCGCAGGCGGUGAUGUAAGACAGGUGUGAAGUCCCCGGGCUUAACCUGGGAACUGCAUUUGUGACUGCAUCGCUGGAGUGCGGCAGAGGGGGAUGGAAUUCCGCGUGUAGCAGUGAAAUGCGUAGAUAUGCGGAGGAACACCGAUGGCGAAGGCAAUCCCCUGGGCCUGCACUGACGCUCAUGCACGAAAGCGUGGGGAGCAAACAGG
rnacentral:rRNA from 1 species